GCGUGAUCUCGAUUGAGUCACGAUUGUAUAUUGACGUCUCUGGUCAUUGCCCACUCCUAAUUGUGGACCCUGGGCACCAGUUUAAUAGUCUAAAUACAGCAUCAUCCUAUUUCA